AAUUAAUGAACUUGAACAAGUAUAUGUUUUGAAAACAUAAAAUAGAUGUUUUAAUCAUCUAUUAAUUU
rnacentral:tRNA from 1 species